UUCGUAUAUUUAUUAACUUAUUUAUAAUCGACUUAUUUUGGGGUCCUUGUAUAUCAAGUUUUUGUGAGAGGGUCCAUUCAACUCCCUUUGUUUUCCAAUCUCCGUACUUCGAUCAUUUGAAUCUCAAACCUUCAUGUUAUCCAAAUAUUCAAAUUCUUUUCUCAUUAAAAUCUGAAGAAAAAGAUUACCUGGAUGGAAUAUCCAGUCGUAAUCCCGAAUAUUAGGCCCAAGUUGUAAGAGCUUGUAAGCCAUAAGUGUUCGUCUUCUCUUCAAUUGCCCUCAAACAUUUCAAACCAUUUUCUCAACUAAAUUGGAAGAAAAAGAUUACCCUGGAUGAAAUAUCC
rnacentral:lncRNA from 1 species